GAUGAACGCUGGCGGCGUGCCUAAUACAUGCAAGUCGAGCGAACAGACGAGGAGCUUGCUCCUUUGACGUUAGCGGCGGACGGGUGAGUAACACGUGGGUAACCUACCUAUAAGACUGGGAUAACUUCGGGAAACCGGAGCUAAUACCGGAUAAUAUUUCGAACCGCAUGGUUCGAUAGUGAAAGAUGGCUUUGCUAUCACUUAUAGAUGGACCUGCGCCGUAUUAGCUAGUUGGUAAGGUAACGGCUUACCAAGGCAACGAUACGUAGCCGACCUGGGAGGGUGAUCGGCCACACUGGAACUGAGACACGGUCCAGACUCCUACGGGAGGCAGCAGUAGGGAAUCUUCCGCAAUGGGCGAAAGCCUGACGGAGCAACGCCGCGUGAGUGAUGAAGGUCUUCGGAUCGUAAAACUCUGUUAUUAGGGAAGAACAAACGUGUAAGUAACUGUGCACGUCUUGACGGUACCUAAUCAGAAAGCCACGGCUAACUACGUG
rnacentral:rRNA from 1 species